rnacentral:rRNA from 1 species
AGUACCUUACUACUUGGAUAACCGUGGUAAUUCUAGAGCUAAUACAUGCUAAAAGCCCCGACUUCGGAAGGGGUGUAUUUAUUAGAUUAAAAACCAAUGCCCUUCGGGGCUCUUUGGUGAUUCAUAAUAACUUAACGAAUCGCAUGGCCUUGUGCCGGCGAUGGUUCAUUCAAAUUUCUGCCCUAUCAACUUUCGAUGGUAGUAUAUGGGACUACCAUGGUUUCAACGGGUAACGGGGAAUUAGGGUUCUAUUCCGGAGAGGGAGCCUGAGAAACGGCUACCACAUCCAAGGAAGGCAGCAGGCGCGCAAAUUACCCAAUCCCGACACGGGGAGGUAGUGACAAUAAAUACUGAUGCAGGGCUCUUUUGGGUCUUGUAAUUGGAAUGAGUACAAUUUAAAUCCCUUAACGAGGAACAAUUGGAGGGCAAGUCUGGUGCCAGCAGCCGCGGUAAUACCAGCUCCAAUAGCGUAUAUUAAAGUUGUUGCAGUUAAAAAGCUCGUAGUUGAACCUUGGGCCUGGCUGGCCGGUCCGCCUCACCGCGUGCACUGGUCCGGCCGGGUCUUUCCUCCUGGGGAGCCGCAUGCCCUUCACUGGGUGUGUCGGGGAACCAGGACUUUUACUUUGAAAAAAUUAGAGUGUUCAAAGCAGGCCUAUGCUCGAAUACAUUAGCAUGGAAUAAUAGAAUAGGACGUGUGGUUCUAUUUUGUUGGUUUCUCGGACCGCCGUAAUGAUUAAUAGGGAUGGUCGGGGGCAUCAGUAUUCAAUUGUCAGAGGUGAAAUUCUUGGAUUUAUUGAAGACUAACUACUGCGAAAGCAUUUGCCAAGGAUGUUUUCAUUAAUCAGGGAACGAAAGUUAGGGGAUCGAAGACGAUCAGAUACCGUCGUAGUCUUAACCAUAAACUAUGCCGACUAGGGAUCGGGCGAUGUUAUUUUUUUUUGACUCGCUCGGCACCUUACGAGAAAUCAAAGUCUUUGG